UACGAAGGGGGCUAGCGUUGCUCGGAAUUACUGGGCGUAAAGGGCGCGUAGGCGGAUGUUUAAGUCAGAGGUGAAAGCCCAGGGCUCAACCUUGGAACUGCCUUUGAUACUGGGCAUCUUGAGUAUGGGAGAGGUGAGUGGAACUCCGAGUGUAGAGGUGAAAUUCGUAGAUAUUGGGAAGAACACCGGUGGCGAAGGCGGCUAUCUGGACCGUAACUGACGCUGAGGCGCGAAAGCGUGGGGAGCAAACAGG
rnacentral:rRNA from 1 species